AGUGAACGCUGGCGGUAGGCCUAACACAUGCAAGUCGAACGGCAGCACAGUAAGAGCUUGCUCUUACGGGUGGCGAGUGGCGGACGGGUGAGGAAUACAUCGGAAUCUACUUUUUCGUGGGGGAUAACGUAGGGAAACUUACGCUAAUACCGCAUACGACCUACGGGUGAAAGCAGGGGAUCUUCGGACCUUGCGCGAUUGAAUGAGCCGAUGUCGGAUUAGCUAGUUGGCGGGGUAAAGGCCCACCAAGGCGACGAUCCGUAGCUGGUCUGAGAGGAUGAUCAGCCACACGGGAACUGAGACACGGUCCAGACUCCUACGGGAGGCAGCAGUGGGGAAUAUUGGACAAUGGGCGCAAGCCUGAUCCAGCCAUACCGCGUGGGUGAAGAAGGCCUUCGGGUUGUAAAGCCCUUUUGUUGGGAAAGAAAAGCAGCAGGUUAAUACCCCGCUGUUCUGACGGUACCCAAAGAAUAAGCACCG
rnacentral:rRNA from 1 species